rnacentral:lncRNA from 1 species
AAGGGUCUCUGAGGAUUAACCCCUCCCUCAUCAUCAUCAGCUUUGCAUCUCCUGAAAAUUGAAAAUUCCCCACAAAAGGGAGGAGAUCGAAGACAUCUGAGCUGUGUUGAGGCCCACUAAAGGGAAGCUACUUCCUUCUGGUCGACCGAGUACAAUCUGAAUUUGUCCUAAACAGCCCCAAACAUUAUAUACUAUUAAUGUCCCCUCCCUUAAGAGCCUUCGGACUAAUCCUUCAGUCAUGUGACUAAGAAUCCACUGCCCAAGAAAGCUGACUCACCUCAAGAUGUGCUAAGGGAUAGGGGGUGUGGCCAUCUUCUUAAUGAGAUAAGGUACUUCCAGGCCAGAAGCCCCUCCCUAGGGGUAGCUGAUGGCUGCUCUCCAUUGCUGAAACUGCCACUUUUUCAGAUAUCUCAUUUCAAAAGCAUAAGGCUUCCUUCCCUCCCUUUCUCUGAGUAUCACCCCAAAUCGUACGCAUGCUUAUCCCAACCCCCAGGACGCUCUCAAUUCCGCAGAACCCCAUCUGGAUACAUAGCUGCUUAACGACCCAUAGUGCUCAACGUCUCUACUUUUCCCAUGUCUCAAACAGCCUGGUUUUCUCUUCCAUCUCCCUCCUGGAACCUGCAAAAACUUACAACUUGUCUGCUCUAUUAUUUUCCUCUGAUACAAUGGUUUUCAGGCUUCAAGAUUUCACAGAGUUGAGUACUAACGCCUGGCAGGAGGCCUCGCUACACAGGAGCUGGGAACAACCUGUCUCAGGAGGUAACAACAGCUUGUAUUGCUAGGGAGAGCUACAGGAAGAACCAGGCCAUAAAUCAGGGACCUGGAGUUUGAAAGUUUGGACUCUCUGGGAGCAAAGAUUUCACAGAGCUCAAUAAUACUGGCAUGAGUAAACCAGCAGUUCCCGUGUCCUUUUCCCACUUAAACUACACUGCUCGUGAGCUCCGUGAAGCAAGAAUGCCCUGCUAGGUGGUAGCAUCCAGCUGCUGACGGUGCUACUGGGAAAUGUGGUUUUCAGGUUUUCUUCAUUCCUUGUUAAAGAGGGUCUUAACGAUCAGAGGGGAAAGUUUAGAUGAGGGUGUGACACAGGUUUUCAUUUGGGAUCUGUCUUGAUUUCCACAUCUCAAAGGUCACUGCCCCCAGGUCUGCUUGCAAGUCUCACACACUCACUAUGGCAAAGGAAGGCGGGUAAACGACACGCCUCAGCGUAUCAAACAGGGGAUCCCUUGGAGUUUUCUCCAGGGCCCUGGGGAUGGCAAGCACCACUGCAAAGACGCCAGCGACCAGGGCAGGGCUACUCACCGGGGUCUCAGUGGCCUGGCUGUCCUCCUGAGGAGGUGCUGCGCGGUCCACGGGCACUGCCAGCACAGCAGACAGCAUCAGUAGAGGUGGUAGGAGAAGAAAAGGGGCCCCGCGGGGCACCGAGGUAGGCAUCGUGGCUGGUCUGUGAGGAGAGAUGGAGAAUGAGGUUUUUUUCUUGUUUUGCUACGGUUUUCUGAGCUGUGUAUUAAGUAGCCUAAGUUGGCCUUGAAUUCCUGACCCUCCUGACUCUCCCUUCCAAGCGCUGGAAUUACAGGCGUGUAGUACUAUCCCUGGCUAAGGAUGUCCCAACCCCGUAUCCGGUUGGGGAAGCGAGUGUGCACGCCACCCGAUUUGCAAAAAUGAAGACUCCAAGCGUUUAGUCACCUGGAACCCAGGAUGCCAGGCCUCUAACAACCCCGGACGCCAGGCCUCCAGCCUCCCUUUCCUGGAGCGCAAUCCGCAGACCCUCAUUCCGGCUCCCUGAGUAGGGGAAUCCUCCCCCGAACCGUGAUUCCAGGCCCCUAACCUCCCCUUCUGCCGGGACCGCCGAGGCCUGACACUGGACAAGUAUCACGCGCUCCAGCCCCUCUUGCCCACGGCUUCUGAACCCCCCUCACCUCUCCAGUGCUGAGGGCGUUUUUUAAGGCCAGCAACCUCCGCCAGGUUUCUGGCGAUUUCUCUCCUAAGUCACGCCCACUUUUCCACCCGCAGAGAGCCCGCCCCCAGAAUACUGAUUGGUCCACGCUGACUCUGAGCUUCCGCCCGCGUUAACGGCCCCGCCCCUUUCCGAUGAGGUUUCCUUAUCUUUGAAAAUCUUUCCGGUUUUCUUGGACGCUCACAGUCUUCAACGCAACAUUUCCUGCGUCCGUUUUCAAGUAAAACUCAAAGCCCUGCAUGCCCAGGGAUUGGGGGAGGGGGUGAGACAGGACAACUUUUGCGGACAUCUUGCCGCGGUGUCUCUUGGGAGUUGUAGUUUUCUCGUUUAAUUUCGCUCCACAAGUUCCUGCAAGUGUUAGGAAACUACAUAGCAUAUGAUCAUUAUUUUUUAAACAGAGUCUCACUGCAUAUCCCUAGAUGGAGCUCUGUGUAAACCAGGAUGGCCUAGAGGUCACAGAGAUCCUUGUGCUGAGAAUAAAAGUAGGUAAUACACACAAAUGAAAGUGAAGAAGCUGCGAAUACCUGAUUCUGUCUCCUAGUUUUCCACUUGCAAUCAUAUACUUAGGUACCUUUAAAAAAAAAAAUCUUUGAAGGUAACUUUUUUGUUUGUUUGUUUUUCUUUUUUUUAAGUUAAAAAAAAAAAGAUUUAUUUAUAUGUGAGUACACUGUCUUCAGACACACCAGAAGAGGGCAACUAAUCCCAUUACAAAUGGUUGUGAGCCAUCAUGUGGUUGCUGGGAAUUGAACUCAGGUCCUCUGGAGGAGCAGUCACAGCUCUUAACCGCUGAGCCAUCUCAUCAGUCCUGAGGGUAAUUU